ACAGACAAACCAAAACCAAAGUCAUGUGCUUCUAUCCAUCUCUUUACAGUGACAGCACUGCAGCUGCAAGGGUUACCCUCUGAGGCACACUGCAACUAACAGCCCAAGCAGGAAGGCUGGAGGACAUAUAAGGCACAUUAAAAGAAAACAGCAUCAAUUCUGCUAUCCUUCUCCGAACUCUCGUGUGGGUAUGUACCUACCCUUAGCUUUUUUUCUUGCUUGGCUCUGAAAAAAAAAACCCAGGAGAAAUUUAUUUUCCUCUCCUAGGAGGAUGGAAGAGCUGGCAGAAUCAUGACUGGCCAAGUGUGAUCCUUAGCAUCUCCAGACAGCUACUGCAGGAUUCAGAACUGUGCACACAAUCACUUGUGUGCUGCUGAGCGUGCCAAAUAUACAAGCAAAGGAUAAAGCAAGACCAUUGCUUGGACAACAGCCCUUACCUCAAGCCUGGGCUGGGUUUCUCCAAAGAGUAUAAACAGAGUAGCCCAAGUGUUUUAGAGGGAGUACUGCCCACAUUUUUAAAAUUUGAAAAAAAUUUUCCUUUUCAAACUAAUGGAAAAAACUUGCACAGAACUGAAGGACUUACAGAUACAUCUUUCUAACUAGCAAGUGGUAAAGUACUACAUAAUGCCAAUAAUCCCCUUCCAGUUCAUUAUGUGCAGCAGCAAAGAAUUGUACUUCACUUCCAUUUCUGACCCAUCCUUGCAGCAGUAAUUGCAGGGCCAGGCAGUUGUGCGUGUUUGCUGCCACUGAGAGGGCAAAGAUUCAUUAGUCACCACGAGCACAGCACACACCACUGCAGCCCUGCCAGCAGUUCGUUUUCUCAAUCACUCUUCUCCCCCUCCCCCUCUCAAAUUAAGAUUCUGGAUGUGUUUCCCAGUGAGCAGUAGCUAAUGUCAAAUUUCACAAGUGUAAUGCCCUUCUGAGUUAGCUAUCUGAAGAAGGUAUGCCCUUUUAGGUGGCCUGAUUUAUUCUUAUUUUUAUUUUAAAUACAGUGCUUUGGAGAAAUUACCUCUAAUUCUACUACUUUGAAGAUGCUAUCUCACAGGAUUUUCACUUUGAGGGCUUGAACUCCUGGCAGGAGGCAGGAUGGAAAUCCUCUGUUCAAAAGCUUUGGGGCCUUCUGACUGACAGCUGAGCACAAGCCCCUGCUUAUUAGCUGUAUGUCACCAUCUGCCACUGUUCUGUAGCCCCACAACCUUCCAGUCAUUUUUGAGCUGUACAGGAAAGCAAGAUCACCUCAAACUAGGCCAAUUAUAAUACUCUGCUAAAUAAAUUUAAAAAAAAGUG